rnacentral:rRNA from 1 species
UACGUAGGGGGCGAGCGUUGUCCGGAUUUAUUGGGCGUAAAACGCUUGUAGGCGGCCACCGCGCGUCGGACGUGAAAUCUCCCGGCUCAACUGGGAGGGGUCGUGCGAUACGGCGGGGCUCGAGGCCGGUAGGGGGACGCGGAAUUCCCGGUGUAGUGGUGGAAUGCGUAGAGAUCCGGAGGAACACCAGCGGCGAAGGCGGCAUCCUGGACUGGUCCUGACACUCAUGAGCGAAAGCGUGGGGAGCGAUCCGG